CAAUCGAGAAGAUUAACUCGUUCUCAGUUUCUUUCUUCUUCUUCUUCUUCUUCAGUAUUCUUCUUCUUUCUCUUUCUUCUUCUUUUUUCAUCUCUCGGUUCUUCCUCUUCUUCUCUUUUUGUCGAUUUCAGUUGAGCGUAAAUUACAUAUGAAUGAUUAUUAGAAAGUGUAUAGAUCGAGGGUUCGAAGGAGUAAGUGAUUAUGCUGUGGUUAAUUGAACACGGGAAGAAGAUGAUAGUGUUGUUUCUGUAAAUCGAAGUUAGGGUUUCUCAAGAUGAACUGGAAGUUCAAUUAGUGUUGAAUAAGAAGAAUUAAGGAGUAGGUUUAGCCGAUUUAGAAACGGGGUGAAGUUAAUUGGAUAUUACAGAGCAGUUCAUGAACAAAUGGAGAAUUAGGUUUUGUAAGAGUAACUCGGGGAAGCUAUAAAAGAUGAAAUUGAUAAUUAGGAAAGGGGAUUUGAGAUGGGUAUUGACCAAUUGAGUGAAUUAGGGUUAAGUAUGAAGAGUAAUUCGAUAUUGAUGGAUGAUUUGAGUUUUAUGAGUUGUGAUGAAGAUCUAGUUUGUGGUGGUGUUACUGGUAGUCGAAUUGAGAACCAAUUGAUCUGAUGGGGUGAUGAUGAUCUUGAGAUGAAUUACUGAACCAAGCAAAGGCAAGGUAGAAUCGGAUUCAACUGCAGGACUCAGUGGUUCAGUUGAAGUUGAACUGAGGUAAUUGCUCUCUCAAUAAUUUAGUAAGGUUAUUGAUUUCAAUUAAUAAGUUUAUAUGCUAUGGAUGCUAAUGAUGAUUAUAUGAUGAAACAUAAGUUUAUAGUAUGUUGAAUCAGGUGAAUGGGUACUAUCUGAGUUGGGGAUUGGAUGAGCUGUUGGUUAUGAAAUUAGUGUUGUUGUUGGUAAGUACAAAUGGUGGUGAUAUUGGUUUGGUGUUGUGGUUGUUAGUAUUAUGAUUGCAGUUGAAAUUAAGCUGAUUGCAGGUUUGUGAUGUGAAUAGCAGGUUGGGAGGUUAUGAUUGAUAUAGUGAUGAUGUUGUUGUUGAAUCUAUUGUGAUGUUUUGGUAUGCAAGGAAAGGUUUGUUGUAGAAAAAUUGUAAUGGUUCUGUCGAGUUGAAGUUAAAGAUUAUGGAGUUAGUAUGGGGAGUUGUAUCUGAUUAUGGAGCUGGUAUAUAGUUGAAAUUCUGAUAGUGUUGUUGUGUUGCUAAUGACUGAGUUGUGGUGAUGUUUGAGCUGGAUUACGAAGAAGUGUGACUAAAGUUAAUUCGUGGUAUGUACAGGUUGAUCUAAGGCUUGCAGUUCAUGAGAAUGGGGUUACUGAGUUUAUAGCUUGUACCACAGGAACUGAAAAUGGGUUGGCUGGUGUUGUAGGAAGAAACUAAAUGUGCAGAGUGUGGAGAAUGGAUGGCUAUGAAUUAUGUAGAUGACCUGCAUCUAGUGGAUUGAACUAUAAGAGUUAUGACCCGGCAAAAGAAGAAUUUGUGAUUGAAGUUUUGGAAUGGGGUUUAGGUGUGUGUGGAGUUGAAUCUCUCUUGUAGGAGGUUAGAAAUGCAAUUGCAGUUAGUAUAUUAGCAACGAUCGAUUCAAAGGAUGAACCGGUGGAUCAUGGAUCUCGAGGUAGGCGUGGCUUGUCAUCAAAAGAGAGACAGAUCAGAGUUGCGCAGCGAAAGCUUUGAGAGUUGAUAUCGUUAUUUGGUUAACCUCUAUUAUGUUUAUUAUAUUGCAUGUUAUAAUUGUAAACCAAAUGGCUAUUGUAUAUGUAUCAUUUGAGAGGAGUUCUUGUAUAUAUAUUUCUGAGCGGGGAUAGUUUUUGGGUUAAGCUUUGUAGCAGAUUUCUUAAUUGAAUGUUAAGUAAAUGUUUUAGAUUU